AGCAACUCUACUUUGAAGGUGAUGGCAAAUGUGCACUAUGAGAGGAAGUCGCUGUGUGGACAAGCUCUCUGGGGAUGAAGAAGUCCAAAAAAAAGAGCCGUCAUGCUGCUCCUCUUGCUGAGGGAUACUCCAUGUCAUGACCUGAGUCCAGAGAGGGUGGUACGUAUCCUGGGGUGAUAACUAGGAUUGUGGACAGUGAUUUCGGCAGGAAAUGUCACCCACACAGGCAAACAAGGGGUGUGUAGAACAGCUUAUGAAACAAAAAUCUAUAGGCUUGUCUAAUUUUAGGGAGAAAGACAGAGAACUGAUGCCAAGGAAACAUAUAAAUCACUUUAUAUAAUUUGCAACACUACUGAAAAAUCUGUUUGGGAUUUAUGUCACUGCAAAUGAAAUAUGCCAUUUGCAAGCUGCGUUUUAUAAUUUAUUAAGCAAGUUGAAAAUGUUCUUUAAAACAAGAUUUGUCAGCUUGUCAUCUAGUGGAGCAGAAGAAAUGGUUUGCAUAUGGAUCACAGAAACUGGAUUUUCAUGGUGCUCCAUCCAUUUCAAAGGGCUUUAUUUUCUUUGAUGGCUGACAUAAAAUGGCACUUCAGAAGCAUUGCAUGUGCUCCAGAUGACCAUUUCUGUUUUUAAUUCAUUUGACUAUCCACCCUGCAUUUUCCUCAAGUUAGCUGAACACCAUAUAUUCCAACACCUCAGUCGGAAAGAAGAGUUAUAUACACACAAGUUAAAUGUUCAGGGCUGAUGUGAUGCCCAUUUGAAAAGCUUUCAAUGCAGCAUUUGUAACAUAACCUGCUUUGGACCAUCACUCCAUACAGAACAAACCCCACUGGUGGAACCUGGUGGCUGGUGUGUGUGUGCCAGUCCCAGAUCCAAAUCCCAGUGAAGUGACGACAAGAUUCCCCUGAGGUUCACUGGGAUUUGAAAGAGGACCUGAAGGAACAUGUCUAGCAAUCUCUGCUUUAUAAGGCUUUCUUACAUGAACCAAAACAUUGUAAAAGUGACUAGAGCAGGGACUAUCAUAAAGGCUGUACCAGUAUUUUGGGAUAAAACACUAGGAAAACCUCCAGUGCACGACAGCUUGAAUAUACUACAUUCAGUUUGUAAUGUAAAUAAGGCCCAGACAAGGAAUGUGUACAUAAAAAUCUGUUUCACAGCUUGCAGUACUGCAGGAUCUGCUUGCACACUGACUGGCUGGAAAUGUUAUCAAGCCAGCAUCUUCUUGAGUGUUGAUUUCAUGCACUAAGAGAAAAAGAGAAUUCAGUUAUAGCACCCUGUUAUUUUCAUUUAGGCUAGAGUGUUCAUUUUGAACAGAAGACAGCAGUGGCCCCAACUGCCUCCAAGAGGUGAGAGCAACAUCAACAAGCUCAGUAAAACUCUUUGCAGGCUGGGAGGCUGAAGAAUUGCCACAGCUGAUGUGAUAGCCUUUCUCUCGGAAUGCUAUGGAAAAGAAAAUUACAUAGUGACAUUCCUUUGCAGGUGGCAAAUGUUUAAUCAUACUCACGUGUUAGGGUGAUUGAGAGAAAAAAAAAACAACAAACCCUAAAUGAGUAUUUUUCUAUGAACACUGAGUGGCAAAUAUGGUUCACUGCAUUUUCCAGAAUGCUGAAAGGCGUUUUUAGAUUUCCUCUGAAAAUAAUAAUGAGAAAUCACAGUGAAUGUGCUUCUUAGUUUCUUGAUUAUUAUAAUUUCUCUUGUUCUUUUAAAGACAAGAAGUCCUGUGCCUUCAUCAAAUGGCUACUUCUGCUUGUGAUAUGCAUGCUCAGCUCUUGGGUGCUUCACAUGCUCAUAGGGGUGAGGAGCUUAGAACAGCAGAAGCUUGAAUCCAGUGGAAGUUGUGUCCACUAAGAUUCUGCAGAGGAAAGCUCUGAUGACAGCAGUGAGAGUUGGAGCAUGGAAUGGUGACAGAAAUGGGAUAAUGCCAGCAUGGAGACUGUGGAAACCCAAGAUUUUGCAGUGGUUCCUGGGCUGGUCUGUCAUCUCUCCAUUUGCUCUCUGGGUGAGAAAGGAGAAAGCUCAGGGGUGCAGGAGCCGAAUGCAGUGGAACCCAGGAAGGCACAGCCCUCCCCUCAUGUGCCUGCCUAGUUGUACCCUGCAUGUGGGGUAGACUUAAUCUCAAGCACUGAAGCAUGAGAACUUUAAUCUGAAAUCCGGCAAUGCCACGUGGGGAAUCAUACAAAACCUCUGGCCUCGAUUUGUCUGCCUUUUCCUGCAGAAAAUGCUGAGUAAAAACAUGGAUGGCAGAAAAAAAUCCAAAGAAAUCUCACAGGGAAUUUGAAAUGGUUGUCAGAGUGCAAAGGUGACAGUUAUUACUGGUCAAGGGUUAUUCAUCCUUUUAAAGCAAAUGCCUUUGUCUACAGUAAAAUGAAGUAAAAAGAAUUGACCUAAAUUAUAAAUAGCAAUAUGACACAGGAUGCAUUCUGUGAAAGCUUUGUCCUUCAAAGAUACUCAAGAGGUGCUGCCCAGCACUGUACAUAAUGGAAACACAUCCUUCUUAAAAACUGCUCAGGUGGCAUUUCAGUCAGAGGAAAGACUGCAAAUUAUCAGUCUAAGAAAACAGUAAACAGUUACAGCUUUGCGAGAGGUUUAAGGACAGGAAAGCAGUAACUGCUGCUGCUGGGUUUGUACUUUUCUUUUUUCCCCUGUGGAUGGAAAGAAAACCAGAUUCCUCCAAUUCCUCCUUACAGGAACUUCACCUCUGUUGC